CUGCAGCCCGAGUGGUGAUCGAUUUUAUUGGGCCUAAAGCGUCCGUAGCCGGACUAGUAAACCCUUGGGUAAAUUGGGCAGCUUAACUGUCCAAAUUCCGAGGGGACUGCUAGUCUUGGGACCGGGAGAGGUCAGAGGUACUCAAGGGGUAGGGGCUAAAUCCUGUAAUCCUUUGGGGACCACCAGUGGCGAAGGCGUCUGACUAGAACGGAUCCGACGGUAAGGGACGAAACCCUGGGGCGCGAACCGGAUUAGAUACCCGAGUAGUCC
rnacentral:rRNA from 1 species